AAACCAUAUGAUGAAUUUGGAUUUUCAACUCACGACGGUCGUCUGAUUUUCACUUGAUGUAUGAUCCUAUUUUCUGAUGGUU
rnacentral:snoRNA from 1 species